rnacentral:lncRNA from 1 species
GCAAUUGUCAAUGUAAGUCUUCUAUAUGCUAUAUAAUUUUUAGCCCAAUCCAACUUACAAAUUGUGAGAAAACCUCCAAAAAUUGCACCAAUGUCACUCGGGCGCCAACUUGAAAAGUGAAACAAAAAUCCCAGCAUUGAUUUCUCCCUUUUCAAAUGUUAACUUUGAUUCAAAAUUGAUGUGCAGCUUGAUCUUCAAGUUCUUCAAGACUAUGCCAAAUUUCACUUUGAUCCAAUGAAUAGAUCUCCAGAUAUCACAGUAAUCCUACCCAACCUCAAACUGCCAACUUCCAAAACCCUCUUGUGCUAAAAACUAGAUAUCUCUAAACCACACCAUUAAAUUAUCACAAAAUUUUGUAUACACUUAGCACAUCUUAUAUUCCAAAGAAAGUCAAAUUUUCAACUAUAGAUGUUACACCAAUUGCAUGAACUAGCCAAAAUUGCUAGCCUCAAUUAUAUUAUAUAAAAUCCAAAUCACCAAUAUAAACCUUGAUUUUGAACAACAAUUG